UACGGAGGAUCCAAGCGUUAUCCGGAAUCAUUGGGUUUAAAGGGUCCGUAGGCGGUUUUGUAAGUCAGUGGUGAAAGCCCAUCGCUCAACGGUGGAACGGCCAUUGAUACUGCAAGACUUGAAUUAUUAGGAAGUAACUAGAAUAUGUAGUGUAGCGGUGAAAUGCUUAGAGAUUACAUGGAAUACCAAUUGCGAAGGCAGGUUACUACUAAUGGAUUGACGCUGAUGGACGAAAGCGUGGGGAGUGAACAGG
rnacentral:rRNA from 1 species